CAGUCGCCACGGGAAUACAGAGGGUGCGAGCGUUAAUCGGAUUUACUGGGCGUAAAGCGUGCGUAGGCGGCUUCUUAAGUCGGAUGUGAAAUCCCUGAGCUUAACUUAGGAAUUGCAUUCGAUACUGGGAAGCUAGAGUAUGGGAGAGGAUGGUAGAAUUCCAGGUGUAGCGGUGAAAUGCGUAGAGAUCUGGAGGAAUACCGAUGGCGAAGGCAGCCAUCUGGCCUAAUACUGACGCUGAGGUACGAAAGCAUGGGGAGCAAACAGGAUUAGAGACCCGUGUAGUCCCUGUCUCUUAUAC
rnacentral:rRNA from 1 species